rnacentral:rRNA from 1 species
CCUACGGGGGGCAGCAGUGAGGAAUAUUGGUCAAUGGACGAGAGUCUGAACCAGCCAAGUAGCGUGAAGGAUGACUGCCCUAUGGGUUGUAAACUUCUUUUAUAUGGGAAUAAAACGUUCCACGUGUGGGAUUUUGUAUGUACCAUAUGAAUAAGGAUCGGCUAACUCAGUGCCAGCAGCCGCGGUAAUACGGAGGAUCCGAGCGUUAUCCGGAUUUAUUGGGUUGAAAGGGAGCGUAGGUGGAUUGUUAAGUCAGUUGUGAAAGUUUGCGGCUCAACCGUAAAAUUGCAGUUGAAACUGGCAGUCUUGAGUACAGUAGAGGUGGGCGGAAUUCGUGGUGUAGCGGUGAAAUGCUUAGAUAUCACGAAGAACUCCGAUUGCGAAGGCAGUUCACUGGACUGCAACUGACACUGAGGCUCGAAAGUGUGGGUAUCAAACAGGAUUAGAUACCCCUGUAGUC